rnacentral:rRNA from 1 species
UUCAAGAGUAAAACUUAUAGACUAAAUUAGUAUUAGAUAAAUACUUAAAAAUUAAAAAAUUUGGCGGUAAUUUAAUCUUUUCAGAGGAAUUUGUUUUUUAAUCGAUAAACCACGUAAAAUCUUACUUGUUUUUGUAUUCAGUUUGUAUACCAUCAUUAUCAGGUAAUUCUUCAAGGAAAAAUUACUGCAUAUAAAUUUUACCUUAUAAAAAUUAGAUCAUGGUGCAGCUUAUAGACAAGAUAAAAUGAAUUACAAUAAAUUACUUUAAAUGGAUUAAUAAGAUAAACUUGUUAUGAAGGAGGAUUUGAUUGUAAAAUGAGUUUAAUAUGCUCAUUUGAUAUAAGUCUAAAUUAUGUACAUAUCGCCCGUCGCUUUCACUUACAAGUGAAAUAAGUCGUAACAUA